rnacentral:rRNA from 1 species
UUAGGAAUAUUGCACAAUGGAGGAAACUCUGAUGCAGUGACGCCGCGUAAAGGAAGAAGGUCUUCGGAUUGUAAACUUUUGUCGUUAGGGAAGAAAAAAGACAGUACCUAAGGAGGAAGCCACGGCUAACUACGUGCCAGCAGCCGCGGUAAUACGUAGGUGGCAAGCGUUGUCCGGAUUUAUUGGGUGUAAAGGGUGCGUAGACGGCUAAUUAAGUUAGAUGUGAAAUUUCAAAGCUCAACUUUGAAAGUGCAUCUAAAACUGGUAAGCUGAUAGAGUGCAGAAGGGGUAAGUGGAAUUCCUAGUGUAGCGGUAAAAUGCGUAGAUAUUAGGAGGAACACCAGUGGCGAAGGCGACUUACUGGUCUGUAACUGACGUUGAGGCACGAAAGUGUGGGGAGCAAACA